ensembl:antisense Gm16189 predicted gene 16189
AACCAGAAAAGGAAUUAAAGGGGAACUGAGUAAGGAAUCAUCCCAGGGACUGUUGGAAGUAUAAUCCAGUGCGCUGAGACUGGGGCAGCCAGCACAUCAGAGAACAACAUGUUUACGAUGGAUGUUCACAGACGAAAUCACAAAUAUGUACUGAAUGCCCACAAAGAGAACCUCCUGCAUGGGAGUCAGAGCUGAGAGCAAAAGAGAGCACAAGUGAGUGCCACCAGCCUUGGCUUUGCACAUGGGUGUUCGGUAUUGAGCCGUUUCCUGUGUUUGUCCAGCAAGCACUUUAUGGACUGAGCCAUCCAUCUCCCCAGCCUCUGUGGUGAGCUUUUGGUGAUGCAGCUGCCUUUGAGUCCCACAUGUUCUUCCUAAGUAACUAAACCUCAAUGAAUUAACUGAUUCACCAAGCCAAUAGACAACGUGGAUGAAAGCCCAUGAAGCCUCAACUCUACACAAAGAACUACAUGCAACUAAGAAAUGCUGAGAGAAAAACUCUUCCCCAGGGAAGAGUACAUCAAUUUUUACCCAAUACCAAGUAGUCAGCCCUGAAAACAUAAACAGACAAGUACCAUCACAUAGACUGAGUAGGCUGUAUUUAUGUGUAUAGGAAAAUUCAUGUGUAUAUUCAUACACACGGAUGCAUGUAACAACAAUUAAUGAAAAAGGUGGUCAUGGAUUUGAAAGAGAGCAAGCAAGAGUAGAUGGGAGGCAUUUUUAACAUUUAUUUUAUUUUCAUCCUGUGUAUGUGUAUGAAAGAAUGCCCAAAGAAUGCUAAGAGGUGUCAGAGCCUGUGGAGCUAGAAUUCCAGGCAGUUGUGAGCCAUCUGACAUGGGAGUUGGGCACCAAACUCAGUUCUUCUGGAAGAGUAAUAUAUACUUCCAAACCCUGAGCCAUCUCUCCAGCCCACAUGGAAGGAUUUGGAUGGAGGACAGGGAAUGGAGAAAUGUUGUAAUUAUAUUAUAAUUUCAAAAAUAAAGGACAUAAUUUUUAAAAC